AGAAGAGAAUUUUAAAAGGCGCAACUCCCAACUGCCUUAGAUUUUUACGAUCGAGUUUUUAACAUCAGCAGCUGGUUGAAGGAACCGCCAGCCUUAUCACAGAGGUCGGUUUGAUCAGCUCCUAGAUCCCAAGCUGGCUUUCUUCAUCUCUUCUACCUUCAGAUGAACUGUCAGCCGUGAAAGAGCCUGAGGUCCCCCUGAGUCCUUGACUUUCAAGGCCUCUUGCGUCAGCCACUGUAAGGAGAGCUUGUGACACCUGAAUGUACUUUCUGGUAGAGGCACCUGCUGGUAAGACAAGGAAGGUGACUGAAACCCUGGCAGAAGACGAAGGACUGAUGUUGAGCCCUUUCCUCUGCAGCAAGUCAAAAUGUUUGGGCUUCCUGUUUGCUGCCUGUGGUUUUGCACUCCUGGGGAAGAACAGUCAUCUGUGUACAUGUCUUUCUUCUUCCCUGCAAGUGCACAUAGGCACCUGACGAAACACAAAUUGGUAUGUCUAGGCUACCUGCCUCAGCUUCUACAGCCACUGCUUACCAGCCACCCUCUGCUGAGCUCCCAGAAGCAUCUCCAGUUUAUUAAGAAUAGACCGAAAUGAUGAAUUGUACCCCAACACUCUUCGUUAGAACAAGCCUCCCCAUGUUCUCUGUCUCACUGACCAACAACACUGGUGCUCAGUUAGCCAAGCAAUAGCCGAGGAGUCCACUCAGG